rnacentral:rRNA from 1 species
UACGUAGGGUGCAAGCGUUAAUCGGAAUUACUGGGCGUAAAGCGUGCGCAGGCGGUUGUGCAAGACAGAUGUGGAAUCCCCGGGCUUAACCUGGGAAUUGCAUUUGUGACUGCACGGCUAGAGUGUGUCAGAGGGGGGUAGAAUUCCACGUGUAGCAGUGAAAUGCGUAGAUAUGUGGAGGAAUACCGAUGGCGAAGGCAGCCCCCUGGGAUAACACUGACGCUCAUGCACGAAAGCGUGGGGAGCAAACAGG